CCCCCGCGGCCGAUCCGGCCCCCACCCCGCGCCGCCCGGUCCCGACCCCAUUACAGCGUGUGGGCGGCGAUCCAGCAGGAGGAGGCGCAGAUCCACAGGCCGAAGGAGAUGCAGACGCGGUGGCGGGCGAAGCAGCGGUCCAGUUCGCCACCGUUUGUUUGGCUCUCUAGGAGUCGCUGGUGUUGCUGCUGAAAGGUCACAGGGUCUCUUCCAGGAGGAGGAUGACAGUACAGAAGUUGACCCUACGAAGCCAACAAGAAGCGGAACAGCACAUCACAGGUGCCAUGUGUGUUAUCGAGAAGAAAAAGUCCUCCGAGAAGACCUCUCCGCCAGGCGCCCUGACAAGCUUCCUGCUUUCUGAUGUGAGCUGAGCGGAGUUCUGUCACCUACAACUGGAGAGCCCUAACGAAGACACCGACCGUGCUCCUUAACGUGUUCGGGAGGCCUCGCCGGCCCACAGCCCCCACACCAGAAAGAAAUCUUUCUCCUCUGUGCUUUUUACCUUGUUUGCAUUUCUACUAAAGUGUCCUUCAGUACGCUGACAUGACUGUACUUAGGAUAAAUAUUUUCCAAAACAAAAACCAGGACACAACUAGACAGCAGGAUGAUACUAUGGGGAUGUUGGGCUGGCCGUGGUUGCUCACUGGGCGCAAAUUUUCUGCUUCCUGCUGUAAGCGCUCUAUAAACUGUGGUUGGUUUUAACUCAUCUUCUCAUCUUCCAUGGUUUUACAAGUGGUAAAUGAAUAAAUAAUUUAUCCAUACAAAUAUUCCAUUAACUUCUUUCUUCCUGAACUGAAGGCAAGAUUGUGCUGCCCAAUUUGACUCCUGUGCUUCCCAGAGCUCUCCUGAUGUGGCACUGAGGAGGGGGAACAAAGCCAAAUCCUCAUAACCAGUUAUUACUGGAGACCCGGAAGGCUUGUUUGUGAAAAGAAUUAAGCUUAAUACUUAACAACUAUUGGGGGUUAAUUAUGCGUCAGGCACUGAGCUUAGUGGUGUGUGUGUCUCCACAUACAUAGAUUUUUCUCAUUUACUUCCCAUAACAAUCUCAUGAGAUAGGUACUAUUAAUUCCUAUUUUACUGAUAAGGAAAACCCCAAACUUAGCAUGUGUUCAUUUGUAAUACGAGAAUGACCACCUCAUGGACUUGUGUAUUUUUAACGAGGUGACAACACGGAGAACAUUUUGCACUGCCCUUAGCUGGGCUCGCUGGGAGUGCUGUUGUCACGAGGGGAAGUGCAGGGAGAAGGGCAGAUGACCAGCUACGCUGCAGGGAGGGUGGGGACACAGCUGUCACAGGAACCAGCAAGGGCUUCGGGAGAUGGAAAAACAUUUUCUCACUUUCACUGAGGACAUGCGUAGAGCCCUCUCCCUCGUGUUACGCUGUUGGUUACAUGUAGGGUUCAGACGAUGCUAGCUCCCCUGGAUCAAGAAUGCCUGGCCAAGGCGGCGGGUCCCCUCCCCCAGAAGAGCCGCUCAAACCUUGCCAAUGCUGCCUCUCACUGAUGACACUACCACCUCAGUGAGGAAGCAUCUCCUCUCUAACUCAACAGGUUGCCGGCAUCUAAAAGCACACCAUGAGGACGAAGGCCUGUUUACUCCAGAGCAACAAGGAGCCGGGCUCACUUACGCUGACGUAGUCCUUCAGGAUAUAGCGAGCAGACCGCGGCUGGUCUGGCUGCCCAUGCGCAGUCAUGAAUCCUCGCAUGUCUGUGAGGAGAAAUAGUGGUGCAAAACCCAAGUGAGAAGCCAGAACGUCACAACAAAGACAACCGACGUGACGGAAGUUUAGUCUAACUAUGCAUGCUGAAUUGCUAGUUUUUAAAAAUUUUUUUAAAAGAUUUUAUUCAUUCCUUUGAGGGUGGGGGGAGAGCAUGAGCAGAGGGGAGAGGCAGAGGGAGAAGCAGACUCCCUGCUGAGUCGGGAGUCCAACAUGGGGCUCACUCCCAGGACCUGGAGAUCACAACCUGAGCUGAAGGCAGACACUUAACCAUCUGAGCCACCCAGAUGCUUUAAAAAAGCAACUAUCAUGGUAGAAGAUAAUCUGGUUAGCACCAUAAAGACAUCUGAGAAUCCAGGUAAACAGACGAUAUUGUUCUGAUACCCUAGCACCAAGCGGUAACGUUCAAUUUCUCUCUACUCCAGUUAUUUCUUUCAUCUCUUGAUUUUAAAAACAUUUAAUCACGGAGGCUACCUGUAGAAUGCUAUGUUGUCACUAUUAUUAGCAAAACCAAAAGCAAUACAGUAAGCCUCUUUUUGUUUAGUGAUGUAUCUAUGCUUUUUCCAGUUUCUCCAACAUACUAUACAGACCCCUCUAAUACUGACUCAGUUAGAGGGAGUAGCAGAGCACAGUGGUUAAGAAUAUGGGCUUUGGCAGACAGGUGGGGUUCAAAACUCAGCUUCCUCACCUAGUAGCUGUGUAGUAGGCUCUGUCAUGUUUAGAAGGAAAUGGUGAGAAUCUUAGUUCACAUAAUACACAAAAACACAUUUAGGCAGAUUAAAAAUCUAAAGAUUAAAAAAAAAAAGAUAUUAGAGGGAAACAAUUUUGUCCUUCUGAGAUAGGGAAGGCCCUCCCCAAGUAAAACACCAAACCUCAUCAAGCCAAAAAGGAAAAAAAAAAAAAGGCUAUUAAAAUUGGUAAUGUCUACAGGGUUAAAGAAACCACAAAGGACUCCUACAAAUCAUUAAGACAACAAAAGAUGCAUAGCAAAUGGUGAUUCCCAGAAGAAACAGAAAUGGCUAACGUAUGGACAGAUGUCCCAUUUCACUAGUACUUAAAGAUAUGCAAAUUAGGUUAGUUAGCAACAUCUUUUAAAAUGAACUGUCAGAAACUAUGCUUUACAGACCUGCAGAUGAUCCUAGAAACUGUACAUAUGUGGUCAUCCAUUUUUAUUCUGAUUUUAUCAGAUUUAGAUGACAAAUCUUAAAAAACUCAAACUCAAUUACUUUUCAUUUUAUCUUAUCUGGAAGUCAAACUAAAUGGGAAGUCUGGUGGAAGUCCACCUUUCCCCAUCUUUCAGGCGCUGGCACCAGAGAGAUGUCUGGAUUAUGAAAUGGGUUCUCAUCCAGGCUACACCACUGACCAGACACCACCGUGGAUAAGUCAUUUCAUGCUCUGAUUUCA